AGAGUUUGAUUCUGGCUCAGAUUGAACGCUGGCGGCGUGCUUAACACAUGCAAGUCGAACGUGAAAGUCCUUCGGGAUGAGUAAAGUGGCGCACGGGUGAGUAACGCGUGGAUAAUCUACCCUUAAGAUGGGGAUAACGGCUGGAAACGGUCGCUAAUACCGAAUACGCUCCCGAUUUUAUCAUUGGGGGGAAAGAUGGCCUCUGCUUGCAAGCUAUCGCUUAAGGAUGAGUCCGCGUCCCAUUAGCUAGUUGGCGGGGUAACGGCCCACCAAGGCAACGAUGGGUAGCCGGUCUGAGAGGAUGACCGGCCACACUGGAACUGGAACACGGUCCAGACUCCUACGGGAGGCAGCAGUGGGGAAUAUUGCGCAAUGGGCGAAAGCCUGACGCAGCGACGCCGCGUGAGGGAUGAAGGUUCUCGGAUCGUAAACCUCUGUCAGGGGGGAAGAAACCCCCUCGUGUGAAUAAUGCGAGGGCUUGACGGUACCCCCAAAGGAAGCACCGGCUAACUCCGUGCCAGCAGCCGCGGUAAUACGGAGGGUGCAAGCGUUAAUCGGAAUCACUGGGCGUAAAGCGCACGUAGGCGGCUUGGUAAGUCAGGGGUGAAAUCCCACAGCCCAACUGUGGAACUGCCUUUGAUACUGCCAGGCUUGAGUACCGGAGAGGGUGGCGGAAUUCCAGGUGUAGGAGUGAAAUCCGUAGAUAUCUGGAGGAACACCGGUGGCGAAGGCGGCCACCUGGACGGUAACUGACGCUGAGGUGCGAAAGCGUGGGUAGCAAACAGGAUUAGAUACCCUGGUAGUCCACGCU
rnacentral:rRNA from 1 species